CCUUCCACACCCCACCCUUCCCUUACCCACAUCUUCCAGAUUGACCGACUCUGAGGAUCCUGCUAAUGCCUAAGUGGCUGUAAGUGAGCACCUGCUGAAAAGGUUGUUUCCAUGUACCUUGUUGUGGAACGGAAAAAGGGGACUGUCCUUGAACCUGAGGAUCUCUGUGGUUUACAGACUGAAAGAAGAGAGUUGUUUUAAUGUGCACUUCUCUCAUUAUGAGAGAUUUGGAGCAUUUUGUCAUAGGGCUAUUGAUAGCUUGGAUUUCUUCCUUUGAAAACUUCCUGUUCAUAUCCUUUGACCUAUUGAGAAUGUCUGUUAAUCUUGGAAACUGGAAUCAGUUCCUUUUAUAUCUUGCAUAUGUAACAGUCCUUAGAGAACUUUGCUACAAAGAUGUUUUUCCUCGCUUAACUGUUACCCUUCUCAUUUUCACAUUUGAUCUGUUUGUGCAAAAACAUUUCAACUUUAUAGAAGCCAAAUUAUCCAUUUUAUUUUCUGUGAUUCUCUCUGUUGCUUGUUCUGUCAUAACCUCUUCCCCUAUCCAUAGAUGUGAAAAGUAAUUUCCUCCUUGCUCCUAAUUUGCUAUUGAUUCCCCUUUUUACAACUAAUUUAUGUAUCCAUUUGUAGUUUAAUUGGAUAGGUGGUGUGAGGUGUUGAUGUUCUAUCAAAUUUCUGGGAAACUGCUUUUCAAAUAGUGUGUCCUCCCCUGCCCCACCCCCAACUGCAGUCUUUGGAUUUAUUAAACACUUAUUGUAUUUGUUUGCUUCUGUA